UUAAUUUUUCUUUUAUUGAGUAUUGUGUUCUUUUCAAGCUUUCAUUAUGAUUCGCAACACUAUGAUUGGGAAGUUGAGAAGGGAUCAAGAGGUUCGAAAUGUUCGAGAUCAGCAACGUGACACUAUUCUAGACAUGACCAACAAAAAUUUGGAAUGUUAAGUACCAAAAUUGAGUGUUGGAAUCGUAAUUGGGAAAGCGAAAGCGGAUCGUAAAGUUUGUCAAAGUCGCAGAUUUAACUUAGGGCUUUAAAUGUCGGAAAGAAACUUGGAU
rnacentral:lncRNA from 1 species